rnacentral:rRNA from 1 species
AUAUAUGGCCUUUCCACCUCGCCUGUUCUUGGAAGCUAAGCAAGACCAGGCCUGGUUAGUGCUUGGAUGGGAGACCACUGGGAAUACGAGGUGUCACAGUG